rnacentral:rRNA from 1 species
AUUGAACGCUGGCGGCAUGCGUUACACAUGCAAGUCGAACGGCAGCACGGGAGCAAUCCUGGUGGCGAGUGGCGAACGGGUGAGUAAUACAUCGGAACGUGCCCAAUCGUGGGGGAUAACGCAGCGAAAGCUGUGCUAAUACCGCAUACGAUCUACGGAUGAAAGCAGGGGAUCGCAAGACCUUGCGCGAAUGGAGCGGCCGAUGGCAGAUUAGGUAGUUGGUGAGGUAAAGGCUCACCAAGCCGUCGAUCUGUAGCUGGUCUGAGAGGACGACCAGCCACACUGGGACUGAGACACGGCCCAGACUCCUACGGGAGGCAGCAGUGGGGAAUUUUGGACAAUGGGCGAAAGCCUGAUCCAGCCAUGCCGCGUGCAGGAUGAAGGCCUUCGGGUUGUAAACUGCUUUUGUACGGAACGAAACGGCCUUUUCUAAUAAAGAGGGCUAAUGACGGUACCGUAAGAAUAAGCACCGGCUAACUACGUGCCAGCAGCCGCGGUAAUACGUAGGGUGCAAGCGUUAAUCGGAAUUACUGGGCGUAAAGCGUGCGCAGGCGGUUAUGUAAGACAGUUGUGAAAUCCCCGGGCUCAACCUGGGAACUGCAUCUGUGACUGCAUAGCUAGAGUACGGUAGAGGGGGAUGGAAUUCCGCGUGUAGCAGUGAAAUGCGUAGAUAUGCGGAGGAACACCGAUGGCGAAGGCAAUCCCCUGGACCUGUACUGACGCUCAUGCACGAAAGCGUGGGGAGCAAACAGG